rnacentral:rRNA from 1 species
CCUACGGGAGACAGCAGUGAGGAAUAUUGGUCAAUGGGCGCUAGCCUGAACCAGCCAAGUAGCGUGAAGGAUGACUGCCCUAUGGGUUGUAAACUUCUUUUAUAUGGGAAUAAAGUGCAGUAUGUAUACUGCUUUGCAUGUACCUUAUGAAUAAGGAUCGGCUAACUCCGUGCCAGCAGCCGCGGUAAUACGGAGGAUCCGAGCGUUAUCCGGAUUUAUUGGGUUUAAAGGGAGCGUAGGCGGGUUGUUAAGUCAGUUGUGAAAGUUUGCGGCUCAACCGUAAAAUUGCAGUUGAUACUGGCAGCCUUGAGUACAGUAGAGGUAGGCGGAAUUCGUGGUGUAGCGGUGAAAUGCUUAGAUAUCACGAAGAACUCCGAUUGCGAAGGCAGCCUGCUGGACUGUAACUGACGCUGAUGCUCGAAAGUGUGGGUAUCAAACAGGAUUAGAUACCCUGGUAGUC